UACGUAGGGUGCGAGCGUUGUCCGGAAUUAUUGGGCGUAAAAGAGCUUGUAGGCGGUCUGUCGCGUCUGCUGUGAAAAUCCGGGGGCUCAACCCCGGACUUGCAGUGGGGUACGGGCAGACUAGAGUGUGGUAGGGGAGACUGGAAUUCCUGGUGUAGCGGUGAAAUGCGCAGAUAUCAGGAGGAACACCGAUGGCGAAGGCAGGUCUCUGGGC
rnacentral:rRNA from 1 species